GACGGAGGAUGCAAGUGUUAUCCGGAAUCACUGGGCUUAAAGCGCGUGUAGGCGGGAGGGCACGUCCGUUGCUGAAAGCCCCCGGCUCAACCGGGGAAGGGGCGCGGAUACGACCGGCCUGGAGGGGGGUAGGGGGACCUGGAACUUCCGGUGGAGCGGUGAAAUGCGUUGAGAUCGGAAGGAACGCCCGUGGCGAAAGCGAGGUCCUGGACCCUUUCUGACGCUGAGACGCGAAAGCCAGGGGAGCGAACGGG
rnacentral:rRNA from 1 species